UACGUAGGGUGCAAGCGUUAUCCGGAAUUAUUGGGCGUAAAGAGCUCGUAGGCGGUCUGUUGCGUCGGCUGUGAAAACCCGGGGCUCAACCCCGGGCCUGCAGCCGAUACGGGCAGACUAGAGUUCGGCAGGGGAGACUGGAAUUCCUGGUGUAGCGGUGAAAUGCGCAGAUAUCAGGAGGAACACCGGUGGCGAAAGGGCGGG
rnacentral:rRNA from 1 species